rnacentral:rRNA from 1 species
CCUACGGGAGGCAGCAGUGGGGAAUUUUCCGCAAUGGGCGAAAGCCUGACGGAGCAACGCCGCGUGGAUGAUGAAGUCUUUCGGGACGUAAAAUCCUUUCAGCAGGGACGAAUACAAUGACGGUACCUGCAGAAGAAGCAUCGGCUAACUACGUGCCAGCAGCCGCGGUAAUACGUAGGAUGCAAGCGUUGUCCGGAAUCAUUGGGCGUAAAGCGAACGUAGGCGGUUUCUUAAGUCUGUGCUUAAAGACCGGGGCUCAACCCCGGGAGUGGCAUGGAUACUGGGAGACUGGAGGAUGUCAGAGGAAAGUGGAAUUCCUAGUGUAGCGGUGAAAUGCGUAGAUAUUAGGAGGAACACCAGUGGCGAAAGCGACUUUCUGGGACAUUCCUGACGCUGAGGUUCGAAAGCUCGGGGAGCAAACAGGAUUAGAUACCCUGGUAGUCCGAGCCGUAAACGAUGGAUACUAGGUGUUGAGGGUAUAGACCCCGUUCAGUGCCGUAGCUAACGCGUUAAGUAUCCCGCCUGGGGAGGUACGGUCGCGAGACGUAGAACGUACAAUAGAAGUUAAGUACGGUCGUUGAGUACGUUGCCGAACGGCGACGACCGAGGGGAGGUUAGG